UGCUUUCUUCGGAAACGAGGUAUUCUCUACUGGCGGUCAAAGCCCGCGAGCCAUGCGCUGAUUCGGUGAAAUUCCGAAGCCAACAGUUGGUCUGGAUGGGAGAAGAAAGAG
rnacentral:ncRNA from 1 species